UACGGAGGGGGCUAGCGUUAUUCGGAAUUAUUGGGCGUAAAGGGCGCGUAGGCGGCCAUGCGUGUCUUCCGUGAAAUCCCUCGGCUUAACUGAGGACGUGCGGAAGAAACUGCAAGGCUCGAGUCCGGGAGAGGGGGGUGGAAUUCCCAGUGUAGCGGUGAAAUGCGUAGAUAUUGGGAGGAACACCGGUGGCGAAGGCGGCCCCCUGGACCGGUACUGACACUGAGGCGCGACAGCGUGGGGAGCAAACAGG
rnacentral:rRNA from 1 species